rnacentral:lncRNA from 1 species
AAAAGAUUUGAACCAUUUUUCGAUUGAAGAACUUAUAGGGUAUUUGAUGACCUAUGAAAUGACGUAUAAUGCACAUGAACAACUCGAGAACUAUAAUCCAAAGAACAGGAAGGAUUUGACACUUUAAAUAAUAGAAUACCACUUGAGUGAUAGCUCAAGUAAUGAUGAUGAUGACCUUGAACUUCUCAAACUUAAAAAACUCUUAAAAAAGAAUCAAAGAAAA